rnacentral:rRNA from 1 species
GACGAACGCUGGCGGCGUGCCUAAUACAUGCAAGUAGAACGCUGAAGGAGGAGCUUGCUUCUCUGGAUGAGUUGCGAACGGGUGAGUAACGCGUAGGUAACCUGCCUGGUAGCGGGGGAUAACUCUUGGAAACGAUAGCUAAUACCGCAUAAGAGUAGAUGUUGCAUGACAUUUGCUUAAAAGGUGCAAUUGUGUCACUACCAGAUGGUGCUGCGUUGUCUUAGUUAGUUGGUGGGGUAAAGGCGCAACAAGGCGACGAUACAUAGCAGGACGUGGAGGGGGGUCCGCCAACCUGGGACCGAGACAAGGCCCAAGACCCUAAGGGAGGCAGCAGUAGGGGAUCCUCGGGCAAGGACGGAAGUCUGACCGAGGAACGCCGCGUGAGUGAAGAAGGGUCUCGGAUCGUAAAGCUCCGUUGUAAGAGAAGAACGAGUGUGGGAGUGGAAAGUGCACACUGUGACGGUAUCUUAUCAGAAAGGCACGGCUAACUACGUG